UGCUUCUUGUUUCUUUGAAAAUGGUA
rnacentral:piRNA from 1 species